CUCCUGACCUCGUGAUCCACCUGCCUCAGCCUCCCAAAGUGCUGGGAUUACAGGCGUGAGCCACCGGAGUCUUUGUAUUCUUAACUAGUUCUCAAAGCCCAGGUUUUGUUAUUUCUCAUAAAGAAACCAAAAUCCUGUGGUUCAGUCCUGGAUUUACACAGCCCAAAUGACAGGAUACUGAAGCAAGCAAGAGAGAGAAGCUGAUCACUCAUCCACUCCAUCAUCACCAUGCUCUUAAAGCUCUCUGUGUUUUUCAUUUCACAUCGUGUAUCAGUAAAAAUGUGGCAAUGACAAGAUACUAUUUCACUUUGUGAUACGAUGUGUUGGAAUAAAAAAAAGGAUGGAAAGUUUAUUGUCCUUCCAAGAAUAACAGACAUUUAUAUUUUGGAAAGAUGAGUUGUCUUUCAAACUUCACCAAGGAAUUAUAAAGAGUUAUGUCAGAACAUGGCAUGUAAAUUGAGUAUAUGAGAGUUCUACUUCCUCCACAUACUAUAUAACACCAGAAUGACACAGACUGAGUAAUUUAUAAAGAAAAGAAGUUUAUUUGGCUCAUGGUUCUGAAGGCUGCGAAGUUCAAGGUCCUGGUGGCAUUUUCUGAUGAGGACUUUUGUACCGCAUCAAAACAUGAGGGUAAAAAAUGGCCAAUUGGUGAAAAAAAUAAAAGAAGAAUGGCUAGAACUUCUCCCAAAGAGAAUUUUGUGUUUUGUUUUGUUCAUUGAUUCUCAAGCAACACCUAGAAGGAAAGCUGGAAAUGAAUGAAGAGAAGGAAGAGACGUACAGCUGCACUGGCUUGCCUCUCAGUAAGAUUACAGAUGCUUGCAUGAAUUCAUGACAGAUAAUUAUGUUCUAUAUAUCACACUGACUUUUGUUACAGUGGUACUACCAAGUUCUGGCGAAGAAUGAGGUUGUCAUUGGUAAAUAAUUGUUGAACCAGUUACUACAUUUCCUAGCUCCUCUUACCUCUAUAUGUGUCCAUGAGACUUUUGAUUGUGAAUGGAAGAUGAGAAGAAUUGAUGUGUGCCAUUCUCAGCCAAGGCUUUUUUAAAGAAGAGAGAGAAUGUGUCUCCUCCACGUUUUUGUUUGUUUGUUUGGUUUUGUUCUUACCCAUAUCUUGCACAGAAGCAUUAAAUAACUACAAUGCCCUAGAGAAUGGCAGAUGGGUAAGAUGAAAGGAGCCAGGUCCAGGCAGCACUCCACAGAAUAGGUCUCCCCGAGACACAGAAGAGUGCCACUUGUAUGCAAAGCCAAAAUAAACCUCUAUUGUGUUUGAAUCUUUAUG